CAAGCUAAACCUCGUCAAAAUCAGUUAAACUGUCGGGCUGUCAAAAGCUAGCAGAAAGACAGACAGACAGACACACUUUCGCAUUUAUAAUAUUCGUAUGGAUUUUGGAACGCGACGCGAAUUUAUUUUGUUGGAAUUUUUCAAUGUAAUGAACGCAGGUAUAAAGCUUGGCUUUAUUUAUAACUUGUAUAUUUCACCAAAGAAACUUUUCCUAAACAUUUCAUCCCUAUGAAAACAGACGUAUACUUUCUUUUAUCGGAUCCGAUUGUUUCAUGGUUACUUAAAACCUUACGGAAUGAUUAUAUAAUAAAAACUAUUUGCUGGGUCCGUCUUCGCAAAGAACAUAAUAUAUAAAAACUAUCAUUGUUACAAACUCAAUUGUUCUGAUUGGCUGGAUUUAUGGUAUUUUUGCUACAACAGUGCGUUUCAGCCAAUAGUGAAAGUGUCGGCCAAUCAGAGAUAAUUGCGAUGUCACCAUGUUGACAAAAGAUCGGAUCCGAUAAUAAAUAUGUGCGGCUGCCUUUUUCCAAUAACAAUUUUAAUAUGAGUACAAUGCCAUAGAUAAUUUAAUUUUUUUAAUGUACAAAUUAGUGACUGACUAAAGGUACGAACACAUUACUGUGUUGUAACGUGUGGUAACGUUAUAUGGGUUCACGAACGGCCAAUGAGGAUCGACCACAAAAUAAAAGGGGUAUGCGGUAUUUUGUGGGAAUUUAACUUUUAAAUGAUUCAAAUCCAUGAAGACAUUACCAUUUUGGGCUUCAUUAAUAUGUAUGACUCCAAUCACCUUGGGUUGCGUUACAACACAACACACCACAUCACAGUUAUGUGUUUGCGCCAUUAUUUUUUUACGUUGACGCGCGGACUAAAAAUAAAAUGAAUGAAAUGUAAAUAUUAGUCAUUUUUUUAUUAGUUUUUAACUGAGUUUAUAUUUAUUAAUGGCUAUGUUAGAUUAAUAUUCUUGCCUUGAAUGGCGGGCGUAAGUGAGCGCCGACGUAUACCGACGGAGUGGAGUGGAGCCGAGCUUUCUUGAUCUUAAACUCAGCUUCACGCACUUCAGCAUACAGUAAAAAUUGGUAUAACAACAACAAAAUACAAGAAAUUCAAAUGACUUCGUUAUGUCUAAGUAAAUAAGGUUUAGUUUGGGUUGUUUUCAAGAAUGAUGCAGCAAGCCUGCUCACUUGGUCACUUGACCUGAGAUACAUACCUACGAGUAUGACUGCCGCGCUUUGACAGCUCUCUAACUCAUCUCUUCUGAGAGAGAUAAAAGAUAAAAAUAACGCGAUAGAAAGAGAAGCGUUGAUUAAAUAGGUCACAUAGCUGUGCGAGCUGCAUUGUAUUUUAUUGUUAUUUAUUUAAACGUAUUUACGCGUAGUUACCGUUCUUUACCUGGAAGGUACUGCUAACUAUUCUAUAUCGUCUCGGCUCCACUCCACUCUGCGUGCGUGCGUUGCACCUAAUGGUGUCAAGUUCACAUCAUUAAAACUAAACUAAUCUUCGGUUUACUUGAUUUUUUUAUACAUAACCUGAAGUAGAAAUUGAACAGAUUUUAUUUUUAGUUUAAUUUUAGACAGAAUAGACACCAAUAUUUUUUUAUUUAGUCAAAGUAAUAUUUUUUGUGAAAUUAUUUAAAUUAAUUAGGGCCUGUUUCAUAACAGACGAAUAAAUAAUCUUUAUCUGCCAAAAAAAAAAUAGUUUUGGCGGUUUUUUGUAUCGAUAUGUAAAAAUAUUAUCUCAGAUAAAGUUGAUUUGGCGGUUGUGAAAAAGGCCCUCAGUUACUAAUACUUUUAUUAUUUUAUUGCUUAUAAAAUGAAAUUGAAAUAAUAAACUUUUUUAAAGUACUAAGCAUGUAACUUAUUCCAAAUAAAAAACCGAUCAUGCAUGAAAUGUUUAAAAAAAUAUAAUAAUUUAUUUUUAGCAAAUUGUACUGUAAAAUAAUUAAUUUAUUUUUAUCUGUGAAUCUAUACCUAUUUUUUUUUAUAUUCUAAACUCUAAGCUAUCUGAUCGUAAUAGUUUUACUACAUUCUGUUCAAUUGAUUUUUAUUUAUGAAAGAAAUAAUUUGUAAAAGUGUCAUUAAAAUCGUUUUAGGAAUUUGUGUAUGAAAUGUUGUCUAAAAGAAUAAAAAGUGGGAGGUGCUAAGAGACGUAACCCUGUGUGUACGUAUUUAUUGUGCAAUCUUUUUUUUUUAGUUUUUUUAAUAUAUGAAAUUAGUUUUUAGUUUUUUUAUAUAUGUAAAAUAGGUUGUCGGUGCAAUGUCGUAUACAAAUAUUCCUUUUUUUU